rnacentral:lncRNA from 1 species
CUCAGAACUGGGCUCAGGCCUUCUGUGCCCAGACCCUCCCGGGGUGCUCUGCUAACUCACCUGUAGCUCAUUGACGCGACUCUCCCUUAUCAAAGGGCACCUUCUCCUCAGUCUCAUUCCCUAGGGUGUCUCCGAGCUUGGUAACCACCCGUUCCCUUGUUUGUCGUCUUCCCGGAUAGACUGUCAGGUCCUCGGGGCAGUACCAGGAGAUUGAACCCAGGGGAGCUCUACAGUGAGCUACAUCUUUGCCUUGAGAUAUUUGAGUUUCCAUCUGGAAAAAAGUUCAUGGAUCAUCAUGUUUGAGCGGUAGUGGAGGGAGAGGCCACAUUCAUUGGCCCUCCAGCUCUGCUAAUAGAUGUGACCCAGCAACAUCUGUGUCGGAAGCAGAAAGGUGGUGUCAUCACAUUUCUCUCUGAGGAACCCUAGCAAUAAUCUGAUUCAUGAAAACACACACAUCCUUCCUGGAGCCCUGGAACUGAAUACAAAUUCAUUGCCCACCAUUCCUAGAAUAUGGACCUGGUGUAGCUCACCUCCUGACACUGGGUUGUCAGGCAGAUAGCACUUGGAUUUAUUAACAACCACAUUCCUUUCCUGUUCCUAUUUCAACUAUCAUUCUAAAAGAUGUCUAAGAGGGAAAAACCAAAAUCACAAGACUGGACUCAUUUCAUCUGUUGGAAUCCACAAUUCUCCAGCUGCUUGAAGGAUAGCUCAAGCCUUGUGUGAUGGGCACAUGAAGACCACUCAUUGGGGGGGGAUUCCUCUUUCGCAGACACACCUGGCCGCACCUCCCCUUAGCCUUAGAUUUUUAUUUAAUUAUAGCAGAGAAGAGAUUUCUAUUGGGGAUAUUUUCCCACUUGACAGCAACUUUAGCCAAUUCUUUAAUCCUGAUAGUACAUUCUUCUUUAAUAUGAACAUGAGAUUCAGCUAACAUUAUAUUACAUUAAACCUAACAUACUAAUGUCACAAGUUAUUUUGGGGACUUUUUCAUCAUUUGUGAGUAUGGGUAGAUUCUCUGAUCUAUAUUAUACAUUUACAGCUUUGCUUACAAUUCUAAACUAGAUUAUUCAGUAUGAUUACAUUGGCAUUUUAUUAAAUGUGUGUAAAUUCAUACCCAUACCCAAGGUCAUGGAAGCAUGCAUUCCACUGAAAAAAUUUGAGUUUUAUUUACUUCCAUUUGCUUAUCUCUGGUGCUGAAAAAUUUCAGAACUCAUAGAAAUAACUUUUAUAAAAAG